AUGUUUACGUUGCCUCGCUUCCACCUCCCCCACCCUGACUGAAGAAGAAGAAGCAGCAAAGCAUUCUUAGAAGUCUUAACUUACAGAUUUGGAGAAAAUGUCAGCUUGACAGAGCCAUAAGGAAGCAGUGAUUGGAGUGAUGCACCUAGGAAAACAGGAUAGUUUUUCAGACAAAGCACUGAGGUACAGAUCUGGAACUACACCAGGACCGCAUGGCUGGACCUUAAGUACCCCCUGGGCGUGGCUAAGG